UACGGAGGAUGCAAGCGUUAUCCGGAAUGAUUGGGCGUAAAGCGUCCGCAGGUGGCAAUGUAAGUCUGCUGUUAAAGAGUCUAGCUCAACUAGAUAAAAGCAGUGGAAACUACAUAGCUAGAGUACGUUCGGGGCAGAGGGAAUUCCCUGGUGUAGCGGUGAAAUGCGUAGAGAUCAGGAAGAACACCAGUGGCGAAGGCGCUCUGCUAGGCCGUAACUGACACGAGGGACGAAAGCUAGGGGGA
rnacentral:rRNA from 1 species